UUUAGUUUUUUUUUUUUUUUUUUCAAAUCAUUUUAAGUUUUUUCUUUUCUUCUUCCUUUCUUAGGAUUUAGAGUCACCAAAAAUCUCAUUUUAAAUAAACUUCCUACAUUUCCCUUUAGGUAAGUAUUUUCACAAAUUUUCUUUGAUCUUCAAAUAAUUUUCCGUUUUUCUUGAUUUUUAACAAGCAUGAAUAAAUUUUUCAUAAUUUCAAAUAAUGGAACUCAUUGAACCAAUUCAUACAAAAGUAAUUUGGGCUUUGGUGGGAGCCCAACAUCCAUAAUAUUUUCUUUGAAAACAUGUCAAGUGAAAUGCAUGAUUGAUAUUUUUAAUUUUGACCAGUUUUGUGUGAGAUAUUUUACAUUUAUCAUUAUGAGCUAACCUUGUUUCCAUAACAACACAUUCUUAUUUGCUGUUAAAGUACUCUCCCACUCCUACUUCAUUUAUUUAUUCAUUCUCAUACUCGAUUUGUUUUAUUAUUUGAUCAUUUCAUUGGUAUCCAUUGAUUUCCUUAUCAAUUGUUACACUUGUCUCACCUUAUUUAGUAGAGAUUCAUUUUUAGGGACUUAAAGGGGUGCUUCGAACUUUCGUCGUAUCUUCCUGAUGAGUAAUCCGACCUCUGAAAACAACGAAUCACGCUUAGGGUUUUCUUUCUUUCUUUUUUUUCUUAAAAAUAAAAUAAAAAUAAGUAGCGACUCUAAGUCUUUUUUAAAAAUCAUAUUUUUCAUCAAAUAAAUAAAAAGUAAUUCUUGUCGUGGAGUGGGGAUGCACCUAAAAAAACGUAGGUCCAUAUCUUGAUUUAAUGGAUGAAGAGACUUUUGGGCCAAAAUGGGCCUAUGUUGGAACAUAAUGUUGAAAGUGGGCUCAUUUCCAAACUAUUGUUCAAAAUGGCCCCUUGAAUCCACAUCAGCCCAGAAAUCAAUUUUUUAUACUGUUUUUACUUUACCAUUUCCAUCCCCGUGCUGUUGUUAUCUCUUCUGUGUGAUUUUUUUGUUCUAAACCCUAGCCCCACCAGUGGAUCACUAAAAAAGACGUUGGAGCUACAAAGCAUAAAGUUUAAGGUGAGUCAUAAUCUUCUUUUUGGCUUAUGUAAAGUUUUUGGCACUUUCCCAUUUUUUUUUCCCAUCUCAAAAUCUUAGUUUUUAGAAAAAAAAAAAAAAUUCCAUUGUUGUGAAUGAUUGGUUAGGGAGUGUGGUUAUGGUGAAUUAAUGGUUGUUAGUAUCAGAUUUUGGGGCAGUCGUUGGGGAGGAUUAGGCUUGCGGUGUCGGCAUUGAGGAGCUACUCAAUCUACGGAAAAACAAAUUGAGACUAUGACAUCUAUCAUAUCUCGAGGAGGUCAUGCAUUGGAGGACUCUAAUACUGAUGCUUGCCGCACUGAUAUUGUUGAUAUUAUCUGUAUGGCCAUUGAUGUUAUAUGCAUUAUUCGGGAGGAUUAUCGUCUCCUACAUGUAGAGCAUGGAGGAGAUAGGUCACCAGCUCAGUCGACAGUUGCUCGACCACCACUUGUUCAAGGUCGGUCGACAUCUCGAGGGAGAGGUAGAUAUAGUAGUUGUCAGCCCAUCACAUCGUCAGUAUCAGUAUCAUUACAUCCCUCUAUCUUUUUAUCCUCACGAUUAGUACAGUCACCCAUCUCUUCAGACGUACCAUCAGUGCAGUACCCUACUUCUUCAGACCCACCAUCAGCCUAACCCCUUACCUGUUCAGACCCACCAUCAGUACAACCCCCUACCUCUUUAGACCUACCUUCAUUACAACCUCCUACAUCUUCAGACCCACCAUUAGUGCAGAUUGACACAUCUACUCAGCUAGAUUUAUCGCCAGCCAUUCCGAGGGGUAGGUGGGGCCUACGUCGACCUAAAUUGCUACCUCCACUACCACCUCUAUUUCCAGCUCUAACCCCAUCACAGACAGAUGUUCUUCAUGUGUUACAUGCAAUACCUGCUACAAUUAGAGAGGAGCGUCCAAAAAGGAAGAGAGUACCAGUUACACAUAGGUUCUCUCAUUGUGGAGGCAUGUGAGAUUAUAUAUGUUUUUUAUUUUCCACUAUAUUAAUGUUUAGUGGAAAUUUUUUGUGACUUUAAUUAAACUAUUAAAAAUUACAUUUUGUAGUAGACUUUUUGUAAUUAAUUUCAUUAACUAAUUUUGUAAAAAAAUCUAUAUAUGACAACUACGGCUUAAGAGUA